CUCUAAUAUUAUUCUAGAUAAUAUAUUUUACGGAAUGUAUUCAAUGAUGUAUUAGAUAUUAAAGGGAUUUAUUCCUUCCUAAUUUAGGUAAAAAUAUAUCAGCAAAUUAUGUAUUAGUAGGCUAAGCAGAAUAUACAUAAUUUGC
rfam:Clostridium sp. CAG:567 genomic scaffold, scf48